rnacentral:rRNA from 1 species
AUUCCAGCUCCAAUAGCGUAUAUUAAAGUUGUUGCGGUUAAAAAGCUCGUAGUUGGAUUUCUGUCGGGAAUGAACGGUCCACACGCUGUGUGAGUAUCUGUCUCAGUCCUGGCAUCCUCCUAGAGAACGUACUGCUCUUAGUUGAGUGGUGCGGAAUCUAGGACUUUUACUUUGAGGAAAUUUGAGUGUUUACGGCAGGCAAUCGCCUUGAAAAUGUUAGCAUGGAAUAAUAACAUAAGACUUUUUGUCUAUUUUGUUGGUUUCUAGACGGGAAGUAAUGAUUGAUAGGGAUAUUUGGGGGCAUUCGUAUUAUGCGGUCAGAGGUGGAAUUCUUGGAUUCGCAUACGACGAACUACUGCGAAAGCAUUUGCCAAGGAUGUUUUCAUUA